UUCAUAUUGGUUAAGACAGAGACCAGGGUGCUGUAAUAAGGAGCCCCCCCCCAUAUCCAGUGGCUCCAAGGAAAUAGAUGUUUCUUCCUCCCGCGCACGCCGGUAAAGGGGAGCGGGCCCAGUUAGCGGACACCCUAACACCCACCUGGGUUCAGAGAUCUGGGUUCUUUCCAUCUUCCUUCUGCAGUAUCCUGCAGAUCGUGCUCCUGGUCUGCAUGUCCACACUGUGUGGCUGCCUCAGGACCUCAGCAUUCCGAAGAAAGGAAGGGGCAAGAGUGGAAGGCCAUGUGCUGUGUUUGAGGGCCCACACCUAGAAGUAGCCCAGUGUCGCCAUCCACCUUUCAGGUGAGGCCAAGUCAUAUGAGCACACGUAGCUGCCAGGGGCUCUGGGGAAAAGCAGGCUCUGGCUGGGUGGCCAUGUGCCCAGCUACUACCACAUUGCCAAAGAAAUAGCUGCUGUUGGCUCCAUUUUAGAGAUGAAGAAGCUGAGUCUAAGAAACAAAUCACUUGUUCAAGUUGGUGCCCCUAGCUAAUCUUGGCAAAGUUAAGUGGCCCCUUUUAGGUCAUGCAGUGUAUCUGUUUGCUACCCCUGUGUCACCAGUGACACAAACUUGGUGGCUCCUAAAUCAACACCAGGUUAUUAUCUCACAGUGUCUGUAGGUCAGAAGUCGAUUGUGACUCAGCUGGAUCUCUUGCUCUGGGUGUUGCACACCCUGUGCUGGCCGGCUGUGUCCUCAGCCUCCGCGUGCAGGUGGCUGUGGUUUUCAGGCCACCCUCAUUUCCCAGCAGCCUUCCCACAUUCAUGGGCCCACUGGCGACAUUGCAGAGGGCAGCGGUGGGAUCCUCACGUCAGAGCCCCCUCCUAGGGAUCGCCCUCACUCUUGACAUUUCCCUGAUUUCCUCUUUUGCUACUAGCCAAAAAAACCUGCUUCUUUUGAAGGGUUUCCUCUCUGCCCAGGACUGGGCCAGGCCAACCUGAAUAAAUCCUAGCCUCUGGAGGCCCAUUGACACAGGACCUGACCUGUCAGCACGGGCCACAGACUGGGUGGCUUAAAUGGAUAGACCUUGCUUUCUUGUGGUUCUGGAGGCUGGAAGUCCCAGACCCAGGUGCUGGCAGGUUUGGUUCCUGGAGAGAGCCCAUUUCCUGCCUUACACAUAGAUGGAUGGCUUUUGCCGUAUCCUUCCAUGGCCAAGAGAGAAGCAGCAAGCCAUCUGGGGUCUCUUCUAAGGCCACUAAUCCCAUCAUGGGGCCCCACCCUUGUGACUUCAUCUAAACCGAAUCACUUCCCAAAGACCCCUGGCUCCUAAUACCAUCAUACUGAGGGUUAGGACUUCACAUGGGCUUGAGGGGCGGAGAGGACAAACAUCCAGUGCAUAACAGGCUUCAAUUACGUCUUCAAAAUUAGCCUCCCAGCAGCAUUUAGUGUUUGGUUAAUACCAGAGGACAGGAAUCUUGGGGGGAUGGGGUUGGUUUUUAGAAUCCUGCCUACAGCUGGGGUUAGGACAGGAACAAGAUUAGAACUUGGGUUGUCACUGUACCACAGGACCCCUCUCCUGGGGCCAGCAGUGUACCUCAAGGCAGUGCUACCUGCAAAAUGAGUCCCCAAGCAGAGGUACAGAGAAAGAUAGCCUUUUCUUCCAGUGGCUUAGCUUUUUAACAGAUCUGGGUGUCUAAGAACUGCAGUCUGGGGGCUCCUCAAAACCAAGGCCUGGGUGCACAGGUGAGAGGGCUGGGUGCACAGCACACCAGGGUGGGAGGUGGGAGGGCUGGGUGCACGGCACACCAGGGACAGCAGCUUUCAGAGUUUGGGAGGUGCGGAGUGGGGAGGCUCAAGGUGUCGGGAGAGAGUUUAAAUACAUCCCACUGAGACCUGAGGGCCUCUGUGGGAACAUAGCCCCACAAGAUGGUGCCCCUUAAAGAGGGAAGAGGCCCCCCGACUCCAGAAACGCGGCUGGUCAGGCUGGUCCUGGCCUUUCAGCUGUGUGGCCCAACGGCCUCAUGAGCAUGCCAGGGGUUGCAUAACCUCCUUGGGGCGGGGGGGGUGGAGGUGGGGGAAUACAGAGAGGGGGCCCCUAUGGGCCGAGUUCCUCUUCCACAGCAUUGCUCAUUGUGGCACCGGGGAAGGUAGGGGCAAGAUAGGCCAUAUUCUCCUCCAAACGGGGAAAUGAGAAAGGUGACCAGCCCGCAUUUCUAUCAACAACGUAAGGAAAAGUCCCCCUUCUGUUCUAGUUUUUAAAAUCAUGUACAUGAAGGGGCUCCUGGGUGGCUCAGUUGGUUAAGCAUCCAACUCUGGGUUUUGGCUCAGGUCAUGAUCUCAGGGUCCUAGGAUCAAGUUCACGUGUGGGGCUCUGACUUCAGUGGGGGGUUGGCUUGAAAACUAUCUCUCUCUCUCCCCCCCCCCCCCCCGCACCUCUUCCUCUCUCUCUAUUUCUCUAAAAAUAAAUAAUAAAUCUUUAAAAUCACAUACAUGGCUAGUUACUUAGGUUGGUGUUACACUCUGAAAAUUGUUUAGGGCUCCUCUGACUUCGAGACAAGUUGUCACCCCUUUUGCUGUUGUCCGAGGAGGAGGAUCUUGUGCCAGUGACUGGGGGGGAGAAGGGAAGAAAAGUCAACCAAAGCCGAUCUGCCUCUGGAGCCACUGGCCAUGAUUAUGGGGCUACUCCACAUCUGGGCCCCUCAUUCUGCAGUCAGGCAAUUGCAGUGCAGGGACGGCAGUCAUGAUGUGCCAGGGCCUUGGACAUGGAGCAACAGACAACUGCCAGCUCGCUUGGCGCAAAUUCUAGAGAGAUGACUUGGGGUCAAAGGAAGACUCCAUCUGCGUAUCUUACCAAUUCCCCAAGGGGGACGGAGGGAGGGAGGGCUGGGAGCCCAGAAGUGGAAAAUGUGGCUCAUAGGGAUUGCAUUCCCUGUGGGAUGGGAACCGUUGGGGACAGCCUGGAGCCUGAGGUUUUUCUGGGUCCGCUGUUCUCUGGGUCAGUCUUCCUUGUGGGGCCAGCAGCCCCUGGGAUAGGAGAAGCAGAGCCCAGGAGCUCUAUGGAGAGGUGGGGAGCCUGGAGUCAGUGGCUCCCUUUGGUGGAGACCAUACUAAGUAGCUUAAAAUCACCCAGCAACCUGGCAGUCAUGAGUCUCACUUCCUAGACCCUCGGGGCAACAUUGGGGAGCUCAGGCUGUGGAAAAUUAGCUACAAGCUUCAUUUGAAGUGAUUUGAAGGUAUAUCAUUGCAUGUCUCUUCCUCGCACCAACCGCCCCCCCCCCCCCCCCCCCCCGCCCCUGCCAUACCUACAGUGAGAAGUCUGGUUCUUUGAAUAUUCUUUCCCAGUGCAAGGAAAACCAAGUGAUCUCCUGACCAGACUUGCCUGUAAAAUAGCCAACCACUCACCUGGGAAGGUGGGCAAAGGGCUUUCAUUUCAAUAAAGCAAGAAACAUAUAGUCAGGCCUGGUCUGUGACACAGCCUCUUGCCAGACCUCUCCUGUCCCUCAUCCUCCCUCAAACAUGCAAAGGAUUAAAUGACUCUGAUCUUGAUGGGAGAGGGGGCAGUCUAUUCCAGGCUCUUGCCCAGCCACGUGCCAAAGCCCAGGGCUGAUUGCACAAUCCAAGCCUAAAACUAUUCAUAUCCGUAAAAAGCUGAGAAGCUUCAUUGACAGCACUCUCUGCUGCUGCGGUCUGUUCAUUAUCUGGGGUCCUCUCAGGAGGAGGUCAGGGGCUUCUGAAGUGACUCAGAAGGAAAGCAGCUGCUCUUCUGCUCUGCAGAGCAAAGUCCAUGAAUAUGCUUGCUCA
rnacentral:lncRNA from 1 species